AUAUUCUGUGAACCCAUCAUGUCUCACAAAAUGGACUUAAUUCAGUGAUGUUCCAGCAGUCUACACAAGACAAUGAGGCUGGAGGAAGUUUUAUCACUCAAGGUAUUGUGAAGGUGUUGAUUUCUGCUUCCCUGGGAAGUUUAGUCUGAAUUUGUAAUCAUGAACAAGCCUCUAUCAAAGGUAGAAACAGGGAGCCAAUACUCUAAUUUGUCAAGAAUCAACACUUUCUGUGUAACUAAUAACCACUGAAUGAUCACUUUUAUGGACACUGGAAGGAUGUUUUUUACUGUAUACUCUAGUCUAUCACUGUCAGCACUAUGCUUAAAUUAACAGUGUAAAUGCUGCAAUAAAUGUUUCAAGCUGACAAAGUAAGCACUGUAAGAAUUAUAGAUAUGUACUGAUAAUGAUUCAGGUCAGUAUUGGACAAUUGGAUCAUAACUUUGGGUGAUGAUGUCACAUUUUGAACAAACUUUUAAUUGUAACAUGAUUUCUAUUCGGAGGCAGAUCUCCAGCUUUAGGUUAAACAUCAUUUCCCCCCAUCUGUUGGACAGGUUGGUCUGACUUAUCGACCUACAGCUGGUACACCAUGGCUCCAGAUAGUCAUGUCACACAAGAACUUUGAUACUCAGUGUUGUAUUUCUUAGAAAUUAUUGCCUACGUGCCACGUGGCUGUUGACCGGCAUCAAACUAUCCACAGUUAAAAAGUUGUUUGAUCAUUUAGACCUAAUCUGAUACAGCUAAUGUUAAAACUGAAGGUUAAAUGCUGAAUUGUGACAGCGGGGAAUAUUUUUCUUAAUGAGCCAAGUGGGCAUCACACUCACACACACAAUACUAGUGGUAUUAUUGAUGGUUCUCAUGAGUUAGGCUAAAUAAAAUCAACAGAAUUCACUUGAAACCUUUUAUUGACAUUUACAGUAACAGUUUCAAAAUAUGUUAAAUUAGAAUAAAUACAGAAUUCAGAUACUGAAGUUUACAAAACGGUGAAAUAUCAGUCAUAGUAGGUUUAGACGUAAAAAAAAAAAAAAAAAUUACAGACAGAUAAACUUGCAUUGUGCUGCAGUGUUGAAUUGUUGCAUACAUUUAAAUUUCAAAGACAAGACAGGCAGAUUUACAAAGUCUGAGUGCAGAAUAGUUUUGGGUUUUAAAACAGUGGCACCAUGUAUUUCUGCACAGGAAUAUUUUCAACAGCUGCCAUUUUUGUGGAUAUUUUCAA